rnacentral:lncRNA from 1 species
AUGCCUUUGGGGGCUUUGCUUCCACCCAGUUAUGUUGGGGACCGUGAGACCAGUAACAUGGCCCUGGUAGAAGUGGAGAUGACGUCAGGGUUCAUUCCUAUGAAGAGCUCUGUGAGAGCACUGGAGGAGAUAUUCCUGGUGAAAAAGACAGAGAUAAAACUAGACAAAGUCACAAUCUACUUGGAAAAAGUAAGAGGAAGACCACAGGGGUCUGCUCAUUCAAGAGCAGCAACAACAGUACUUUGCAUUUGGGAUCAUAGAGAUCAGAAAUACAAAGCUCUAGGCUGGUGAAGCAAGCUAAAAUUUUGGCAGAAGAGGAGGAAGGUGGAGGGACCUGAAGAGGUGGAGAAGAAAAUCUCUGACACAGGGAGAAUAAACCUGAGAUGUGGGUGACUUUGAGGAGGCCA